rnacentral:rRNA from 1 species
AAUGAACGCUGGCGGCAGGCCUAACACAUGCAAGUCGAACGGCAGCACCGGCAUAGCUCGCUCAGACGGGCGGAGGGUGGCGGAACGUGGAGGCAAGCUACGGAAUACACUCGUUCGGGGGGGAUAACGUAGGGUAACUUACCCUAAUAACGCAUACGACCCAUGUGUGAUAGCAUGGGAUCUUCACGCUUUGCGCGAGGCAAUCAGCCGAUGUCGUUUUAGCUAGUUGGCGGGGUAAAGGCACACAAAAGCGACGAUGCGUAGGGGGCCUGAGAGGAAGGUCAGCCACCCUGUAACUGAGCCACGGUCCAGACUCCUACGCGAGGCAGCAGUGGGGAAUAUUGGACAAUGGGCGAAAGGCUGAUCCGGCACUACCGCGUGAGUGAUGAAGGACCUCGGGUUGGAAAGCCAUUUUGUUGGGAGCGAAGAACAGCCGGUUAAUACGGCGGUAUAAUGACGGUACCGAAAGAAUAAGCACCGGCUAACUCCGUG